CGUGUAAUUCGAGGUCAUGUUGGGGGAAAUAUCACGGUGGCGUUUAGCUUUUUACGUUGUCAACAAAGGAGUCUUUGGCGGCGCGAGCCCUAACGAGGGUAGGACAAGACCUGCCAGUUCUAGUCUGGCUGCUGAUUGCUCCAUUUAGGAAGCUGCUCUUUAAAGAGGCUUCUCGUUUAUUCACUUGUUGUUUCUUUCUGAAUUGAAGUCGGGCUUGAUUGACGCUGAAAUAUCCCCGUCGCCAAUUAACUGGCUUGGAUUGAGGUUUUUUUUUUUUUUUUUUUUUUUUUAAUCUCGGCCUUGUCAAGAGGAGGGCUUAAAAGUAGGCCAUGGCACAUCGCUUAGCAACGGGUCUCAUGCCUGGCGCCAAUACGGACCUCCACCUGCCUGAAGGAGGUCAUUGGAGAUCUCUGGUCGUCAAGACGGUUUUCUUUACUUCUGCUUUUUCUCUCUCUCGCCUCGUUUCACAGCAACUGUCUUCUUCCUGUGGCAGCUCAACGUUUUCUCGUUUUAACUCAGCCGCCCAAAGCCACACCAGGACAAACAGGCAAAGUGAAAGAGACCAAUAAAAAAGUGGCGACACUGUUACCGAUGCAUUUGACGUCACGCGGCACGCUACUUUUUAUGUCAACAAGACAAGCGUCAGAAGCGCCACUCGAAAAGGAACUCGAUAUCUAAUAGGAAGAGGCAACAUCCCACAGCAAACAACGUGCAACAUGUAAGUACACACAUACAGUCCUACUACUACUACUACUACUAAGAGAGAAUAAUGAACAACACAUCAAAAAAGGGACAAGCUCGCAAUCCUUCGAUACCCCAUGUGUGGACAAGGAGACUACAGCCAUCAAAGCACUUAACUCAUUAGAGCUAACACAAUCCAAUGAAAAGAUUCAACAGCGAUGCCAUCACUGCCACCGCUCAGCUAACAAAUGCCGCUCUCGUUGACGUCGCACUUCCCUAGGCAACAGGCCCGCACUCUGCUCUCAUGAAAUGUCUCCUAACUCCAUAAGCCAGAUAUUUCAAGAUUUUUUUUCGAAGUAACGCAUUAAUUACUUUCCCUCGUAUUUGAUAACAUUUACUCAAGAGUAAUUCCAUGAGUAAUCCAAUUACCUUUUUGGGAAAGUAACAAGUAACUAUAAUUAGUUACUUUUUUAAAUAAAUAAUUUGCUGAAACCUGCUGGUUACGCAGAGUAAAACGCUUAAGCCAAGGCUGCGUGCAAGCAGAUGUUCAUUUAUUAUCUUAAAAUAUGUUUUUGUAUUAAAAAAUACCUAAUAUUUUAGCCUCCCUCCUGCUGUUAGAAUAAUUAUGUAUAUAUUAUCACACAACUCAUAUGCUUAAAGGCCGUUGCUAUAGUUAUUAUCAAUUGUGCUGAAGUUGUACUUUUCUAUCCGUGCAAAGGGACAACUUGCAAUCUUGGAUUGCGAGUCGUCUCGUAUCAGUGUUUGUGUCCAGACCCGGCCUGCUGACUGCCAAGGGCGGACAUCGAGUACCUUGACGCAGACAAAGCAGAGACACGGCGAUAUCACGAGUGUCAGCAUUUUUCCAUUUCUGAAUAAUCUUAUAUUGUGUCUAACUGGGGCCGCUGAAAUGACCCCCCUUCCUGCAGAAGCAGCCUCAGUGAUGUAACCAGGGACCUCCCAAAUAAAUAGAGGAGCACGUGGGCUGUGCCUUAGGGCGUAGGUUGGAACUGUAACUGAGUGUACAGCCCAACACGUCUCUCCUCA